rnacentral:rRNA from 1 species
ACGCACGCUGGCGGCGUGCUUAACACAUGCCCGUCGAACGGAAAGGCCCUGCUUUUGUGGGGUGCUCGAGUGGCGAACGGGUGAGUAACACGUGAGUAACCUGCCCUUGACUUUGGGAUAACUUCAGGAAACUGGGGCUAAUACCGGAUAGGAGCUCCUGCUGCAUGGUGGGGGUUGGAAAGUUUCGGCGGUUGGGGAUGGACUCGCGGCUUAUCAGCUUGUUGGUGGGGUAGUGGCUUACCAAGGCUUUGACGGGUAGCCGGCCUGAGAGGGUGACCGGCCACAUUGGGACUGAGAUACGGCCCAGACUCCUACGGGGGGCAGCAGUGGGGAAUAUUGCACAAUGGGCGGAAGCCUGAUGCAGCAACGCCGCGUGGGGGAUGACGGCCUUCGGGUUGUAAACCGUUUUCGCUCAUGACGAAGCUUUGGGUGACGGUAGUGGGGAAAGAAGCACCGGCUAACUACGU